rnacentral:misc_RNA from 1 species
AUAUAUAAAUCAACCCUCUCUUGAUGAGUGGUUUGGAUGUGGGGGUUUGCUGGCGGCCUCUUGGAGGAUUGAUUCAGCUCCCCUGAAAUGCAUUAGCAGAACAAACCCGUUCAUUGGUGUGAUAACUAUCUACGCUAUUGAAUGUGAGGUGGCAGUUCAGCUUUCUAACAGUCUUUGGACAAAUUCAUCAUUA